UACAGUAGACACUUAGGCAAAUAAAAACAAAAUAACAUGGCCACUGAAAACAUCACUCGCGAUCCCUAGCUACCAUUCCCUUCAUCACCCCCAAAUCAGAGAAGACCACUGACGGCGUCACCGCUCACGGCGUCACCAUCUCCACCACUCACUCAUCUUCAUCACUCACCUCUCACCACGCCGCCACUCAUCUUCAUCACCGGUUCUCUUCGCUGCGCGCUGACAUUAGGAAGAUCGACUCUGCGCUCGACUAAAAGCUUCUCUUUAUUCGCUCACCGUCGUCAAGAAAGGAGAACUCAGAAUUUGCUGGUUUCAUUCCGUUAUUGCUGCGGCGCAGCAGAACUCGUGAAUUUGGGAUUGUUGUGGCGCAAGAGAUUGAACUCGUGAAUUUGGGAUUGGGAUUUCAUUCCAUUUACGCAGGUGAGUGAUGUAUAGUUCGUAAGCCAACUUUCAUUUUAAUUCCUUAUUCAUAUACAUUAUCUUUCAGUAUAACAGAGGAACAACUUCACAUUGUUUUUACGAUUUUAGUUCCUAAGUUCCUAACUGAAUCUACAUUAUAAUAAUUCUUAUAAGUCAGAAUUUCAAUUGGAUCCCAAUUUUUUUUAAGUAUAUAAUAUUUACUAAUAAAUGUAAACAAAAUAUUUAUAUUAUUUGUUGUGUCAUACCCUGUUGAACAUGAAACGAAUCUACCAGUGGAUUUUGCCAUUUUGAUUAUAUCCGGUAGAAAAAUUUUACUUUUGGUAAAUGGUUUUUGAUUGGUGAGCUAGUUCUGAAAUUUGAUAUGAGACAUUAUAUAGUAUCUGAAAUUAGAUUGAGGAUGUGACAGACUUGGAUGAUGUUUUUAAAAUUUUUAUUUUUCAGAUUUCAUAAA